rnacentral:rRNA from 1 species
CAGGCUUAACACAUGCAAGUCGAGGGGCAUCGCUUUUAAAGCUUGCUUUCUUUGCCGGCGACCGGCGCACGGGUGAGUAACACGUAUCCAACCUGCCCUUUACUCGGGGAUAGCCUUUCGAAAGAAAGAUUAAUACCCGAUAGCAUAAUGAUUCCGCAUGGUUUCAUUAUUAAAGGAUUCCGGUAAAGGAUGGGGAUGCGUUCCAUUAGGUUGUUGGUGAGGUAACGGCCCACCAAGCCUUCGAUGGAUAGGGGUUCUGAGAGGAAGGUCCCCACAUUGGAACUGAGACACGGUCCAAACUCCUACGGGAGGCAGCAGUGAGGAAUAUUGGUCAAUGGGCGCUAGCCUGAACCAGCCAAGUAGCGUGAAGGAUGAAGGCUCUAUGGGUCGUAAACUUCUUUUAUAUAAGAAUAAAGUGCAGUAUGUAUACUGUUUUGUAUGUAUUAUAUGAAUAAGGAUCGGCUAACUCCGUGCCAGCAGCCGCGGUAAUACGGAGGAUCCGAGCGUUAUCCGGAUUUAUUGGGUUUAAAGGGAGCGUAGGUGGACUGGUAAGUCAGUUGUGAAAGUUUGCGGCUCAACCGUAAAAUUGCAGUUGAUACUGUCAGUCUUGAGUACAGUAGAGGUGGGCGGAAUUCGUGGUGUAGCGGUGAAAUGCUUAGAUAUCACGAAGAACUCCGAUUGCGAAGGCAGCUCACUGGACUGCAACUGACACUGAUGCUCGAAAGUGUGGGUAUCAAACAGGAUUAGAUACCCUGGUAGUCCACACAGUAAACGAUGAAUACUCGCUGUUUGCGAUAUACAGUAAGCGGCCAAGCGAAAGCAUUAAGUAUUCCACCUGGGGAGUACGCCGGCAACGGUGAAACUCAAAGGAAUUGACGGGGGCCCGCACAAGCGGAGGAACAUGUGGUUUAAUUCGAUGAUACGCGAGGAACCUUACCCGGGCUUAAAUUGCAGUGGAAUGAUGUGGAAACAUGUCAGUGAGCAAUCACCGCUGUGAAGGUGCUGCAUGGUUGUCGUCAGCUCGUGCCGUGAGGUGUCGGCUUAAGUGCCAUAACGAGCGCAACCCUUAUCUUCAGUUACUAACAGGUCAUGCUGAGGACUCUGGAGAGACUGCCGUCGUAAGAUGUGAGGAAGGUGGGGAUGACGUCAAAUCAGCACGGCCCUUACGUCCGGGGCUACACACGUGUUACAAUGGGGGGUACAGAAGGCAGCUAGCGGGUGACCGUAUGCUAAUCCCAAAAUCCUCUCUCAGUUCGGAUCGAAGUCUGCAACCCGACUUCGUGAAGCUGGAUUCGCUAGUAAUCGCGCAUCAGCCACGGCGCGGUGAAUACGUUCCCGGGCCUUGUACACACCGCCCGUCAAGCCAUGGGAGCCGGGGGUACCUGAAGUACGUAACCGCAAGGAUCGUCCUAGGGUAAAACUGGUGACUG